GACGAACGCUGGCGGCGUGCCUAAUACAUGCAAGUCGUGCGGACUUUGCGGGUGCUUGCUCCCAAGAAGUUAGCGGCGGACGGGUGAGUAACACGUGGGCAACCUGCCUGACAGACUGGGAUAACAUUCGGCAACGAAUGCUAAUAACGGAUAGGCAACGACGCGGCAUAUCUUUGCUGAGAAAGGCGCUACGGCGUAACUGUCAGCGGGGCCUGCGGCGCAUGAGCUAGUUGGUAGGGUAACGGCCUACCAAGGCGACGAUGCGUAGCCGACCUGAGAGGGUGACCGGCCACACUGGGACUGAGACACGGCCCAGACUCCUACGGGAGGCAGCAGUAGGGAAUCUUCCACAAUGGGCGAAAGCCUGAUGGAGCAACGCCGCGUGAGUGAUGAAGGCCUUCGGGUUGUAAAACUCUGUCUUCUGGGACGAACGGCCAAGAUAGGGAAUGCUCUUGGAUUGACGGUACCAGAGGAGGAAGCCACGGCUAACUCCGUGCCAGCCGCCGCGGUAA
rnacentral:rRNA from 1 species